AUGCCUCUCGGCCACUGGAGGGCUGGGGUCUUCUCGAGUCGUGGCUGUCUCGGACACAUCUGGAUAUUAUUUCUUUUCUUUUCUUUUUUUUUUUUUUGGUUCUGGAUAUUAUUUCUUUGGGGGCGGUUUCAAUCCCCUCCCCCACCCUCCUCAGCCCACCUUGGCCUAGACCACACCCCGUGCGCCUGCGUGCUGGCUUCUGUGACAUCCUUCCUGAGACCUGUCCCGUGCACGUCUGUCUGUGUCCUUCUGUUCUCCCCGCCCCUCCCCCCAGGCACUCUCUCCACUCUCUGCCGGGGCACAGGGAGAAAAAGGCCUCCCUCCGGGGACCUCAGACUGAGCCAAAACGGGAGGCAAGGAGCCCCCCGGCCUCUCCCCAGAUGGUACUGGGCACUUCCCUCUGCCCCAUCUGGCCCCAGGCCACCGAGGAGCCAGCAGCAUGGCUGUGUCCUCGGCCGCCCCGACUGGCUCCUCCUUCCUGGGGCUGGGCAGGAUCAGGGCUCCCAGAAAGCAAGGCAGAGGGAGCACAGAGCAGCCUUCCCAGCAGGGGCCCUGCCUGGCUCCAGGCCAGCUCUGCUGUGUAGAUCUGUGAUUUGUGUGCCCAAAUUUAUAUGUGAAAGUCCUGACCCCCAGAACCUCAGAAUAUGACCGAAAUCAGGCUAUUGCAGAUGGCAUGAGUUAAAGCUGAUAUCCCACCGGGCCACGAUGGUGCAUGGCGGUCACCCCGGCUACUGGGGGGGGGAGGCUGAGGCAGGAGGGUUAAAAUUUGGACAACCUUGGACAACGCAGUAAAAAAAUUUAAAGGGCGGGGGAUGGAGCUCAGUGCAAAGGCCCCGAGUUCAACCUCCGGUGCUGAUGGGAGAAAAACCCAUCUAUAAAAGUUGCCAAAGGCUAGCAAGGGACGGGGCCCUGGGUGCGUUUCUCCGGGCAGGGUUUGGGUGCAGCCCAGCUGGGUGCGGACAGCUGCCUCCAGCGAGCGCUCUGAACCCAAGCCUCUCCGUUCCCAUCGGACAGCACAGGACCGAAACUCAAACCUGGCCCCACGUGCAGGGCCCGGCAGCCGGCAUGGGGUGGGAAGAGGCUACGGACCGCACGCUCUCUAUCCGCCUUCUGAGCAGCCAGGGUCCCCAGGGUGCAGGGCCAGAGUCUUCCCCACCCCGACCCUCACCCAAGCGCCUGGCGAGACAGGCUCGGAAACGAGAGGUGGGCGGCGAUGACUGGGCGCGGAUCGCGAGCGUCUGCGCGCGGGCUGACUUCAGGAGACAGGAAUUCCGCCUGGCCAGCGUCUAGACCGCCGGGGCAUAGCUGGAAUGGGUGCAGCUGAGGAGGGAGGGCCCAGCCAGACCUGCCUCUGGGUGAGCGAGGCGGUGAGGGAAGAGGACCUUGGGUUGCGGGCCAGCCUGGGGAACUUAGCGACUUAGUGAAACCCUGUUUCAAAAUUUAAAACAAAAAUUAUUUUUUAAAAAGGGGCUGGGGUGUAGCUCAGUGCAAAGGCCCUGGGUUCCAAACCAAACAAAGAAAACCCUGCAUCAAUUUAAUAAUUUAGUAGUACAAUGCAAAAAAAUUUAACUUUAAAAAAAAAUAAUUGAAUCAAUCUCUCCCUUGCGUGCUGAGCACACCAGGUCUGGAUCAUUCUCACAGGGUCGCCCCAGGUCCCAGGCCCAGCAGGGUGUGGAGUAGCAUCCCCGGCCUCCACCCACUCCAUACCAGGAGCUCCCAGCCAGGACACCCUCACGUGUCCCCAGACAUGGCCCAGGAUCUCCUGCAAGGCAGGAUCACUCUGGCCGAGACCUCCUGGGUUAGGGGAUCCCACAGACCCCAGAAGACUCUGUAGCCCGUAAUCGCCUACCACGAAUCCUAGGGUCCAAAUGUAGCUUAGACACCCCACGUCCCCAUUUGAGGAAUGAAUCAAGCCCAUGCUGGUCCCUCCAUAGGAGAUCCUAUGUUUUGUUUUUAUUUUGGAGCAUUAGGGAUUGAACCUAGGGCAUGUGCAUUGAGCUCCACCCCAACCCUGUUUAUUUUUUUUAGUUUGAGACAGGGACUCAUUAAGUGGCUAAAUUGCCCAGGCUGGGCUGGAACUUUCGAUCCUCUUGCCUCAGCCUCCCAGAGUGUUUGGAUGGCAGGUGUGUGUGGUUAGUACUCCGAUGGGGGAGGGGACCCUCUGAAAUAGGGGUCAGCAGCAGCCGGGCUGUAGAGUUCCUGUUUGUACCAAUAAAGUUUUACUGGCACAUGGCCACGCCCCAUCAUAACCACAUCCUCCUCAGCUAUUUUUACUCUGCUGACCCAGUAGUGGCAAUAGGCAGUUUCUGAAAUAUGGUUUGUUUUUUUUGGUACCGGGGAUCAAACUUGGGACCUUGAGAUUUCGGGGCAGGUGGCAGAACCACUGAGCUAAAUCCCUGGAAAACAGGCAGUUUCUGGCCCUUGAAGUGAGCACUAGGGACCACCUGGGCCUUUAGGGACAAAGUUUGCCGAUCCCUGGUGGGGACAAUGCCCAGGGAGGGGAGGUCACUAGCUAGGGAUGGAGACACAAACAUUCUCAUGCCAUCCUUGUGACCCUGUAAAAUAGCCCAUUUCACUUGGAAAUCACAGAGCUCAGAGGUGAGCUGCUGGUGGAGGAUGUCACAGAAGGGACAUCAGAGCUGCCACCCCAAAGUGACAAGUACUGAUCCUGUGCAGUGGAGAGAAGAGGACUCGCACAGGAACAGGCAGGCACCAUCCUGCAUCCUGGAGAGAAGCCUUUUGGACAGUGUGCAGCCAAGAGGUCGGAGACGCCCCCAGGCCCUGUGGCACUGGGAUGCAUCUGUUUUGGGGUCCCUGCUGCCCCUGGGAACAGCAUGAUAGAUGGGGCUGGAAGUCCCUUCCCUGCAUGUGGGGCAGGGCUGAGUGGUCUGUGAUGUAGAGGGCCCAGGAGGGGCCAGCCCUGAGCCCCAGCAGAAGGGCCUGGUGGAAGGGGCAACAGAGCUUUGGGAAGAUGCAUCCCUGCCCUGCUCAAGCGUGGGGGAGCCUGGCCCUGAGACACAGCCUGAACCGUCCUGGGCACCGCAGGGUGUGAGCAGCGUCCCUGGCCUCCACCUGCUCCCUGCCAGGAGCUUAUGGUGUGACAGCCACUUGUGACCCCAGACAUGUGUCCCCUAAGGUCAGAACUGCCCCAGUUGACAACUGCUGCCCUAGACAAGAAAUGGGGUAAUUCGGGGAGCCCAAGAGGCAGAGCCUAGGCCUGGUCCUCAGGCUUUGAGUCCCGGUGCUCCAUCCAUCCCUCAAGGCCAGAUGCAGUGACACACUCCUGUCAUCCCAGUGGUCUGAGAGGCUGAGGCAGGAGGAUUGCAAGUUCCAGCUCAGCCUGGGGAACUUAGCAACUUUUUUUUUUUGUACUGGGGAUCGAACUUGGGUCCUUGUGCUUGUGAGGCAGGCGGCGAAACCACUGAGCUACAUCCCUGGCCCUCAAAAUAAAAUUUGUUUUCUUUGGUACUGGGGAUCGAACUUGGGUCCUUGAGCUUGUGAGGCAGGCGGCGAAACCACUGAGCUACAUCCCCAGCCCUCAAAAUAAAAUUUGUAAAAAGGACCGGGGAUGGAGCUCAAUGCAAAGGCCCUGGUUUCAAUCUCCAGUGAUGGGGGUCAAGGGGUUGUUGUGCCCUUUGAAGAAGGUCCCAAAGGAGAGUUCAAGGUCGACCCAGCCUCAGGGGCUUCUCAGGGGCUUCUCAGGGUCAUGGCUGAACUCCUGCAGAGAACAGGCUUCCAGGGUGGAACCUGGCUCUGCUCUGGGGUCCUCCCCAGAACCUGACACCUGCACACCUGGGCAGGGUGCUCUGGUCCCUUAUCCGGGGCCACACAGUGGCCUCCUCCUGGGGACACUGCCCGCCUGCUCCCCUCCUGCACACUCCAGUCACUUACUGAGGACCGAAUGCACCCCACCUCCCCUGCACAGGGCUCAGUGGCAUCCCCCAAAUUCACAUUCACCCAGAACCUCAGGGAGGAUUACUACAGCCUGAACUAUGUCCCUUAACUUCCCGUAUGGAGGCCCUUGAAGACAGAGACCUCAUCUGCAGACAGGGAGUGCCCUGCACACAGGGGUCCUGAAGAUGGGGUCAGCCCAGAGCAGGGUGUCCCUGAAGCCAGGCAUGGUGGGGCACACCCAUCAUCCCAGCUACUCCGGAGGCUGAGGCAGGAAGAUUCCAAGUUCCAGCCCAGCCUGGGCAACUGAGCAAGACCUUGUCUCAAAAUAAACCCUAUAAGGGUCUGGGGGAUGUGGCUCAGUCCAAAGGCCUUGCUGGUUUCAUACUCAGAACUGAGAGAGGGGAUGGGCAGAGAAGCAGUGACCCGGUGAUGGGGCCACAACCCCAGGGACCCCCAGAACCCCUGAUGGAGAGGCAGGAAGACGCCUCCUCAGCCUCGGAGGGAGCUCAGCCCGGUGCAGGUCUGGCUCUCGGACUUCCAGGCUCCAGAACUGAGACAGAAUAAAUGUCCCUGACUUUAGGCCCUUCAGUGUGUGGCCCUGUGUCACAGCAGCAACCAGGUGCUCACGGACCCCUCUGCUCCCCUGCCACACCCCGAUGCUCCUGAGGACCGAGCUCGGCCCCCACCCCCAGAAGCCCCCUCCUCCCCUCGGCCCAGCCUGGUCCCUUGAGCAGACAAGCCGCCCUGGCCUUCAGUGGCCACCACACGCUAGCUUCCUUGUUGUUUGUUUUGUAGCACUGGGGAUGGGACCCAGGGCCUUCACACUGAGCUGCAUCCCCAGCGACAAGGUCUCACUAAGUUGCCCAGGCGGGGUUGGAAUUUGUGAUCCUCCUGCCUCAGCCUCCCUGAGUGCUAGGAUUACAGGUGUGUGCCACCAUACUCAACUUGCACAUUUUUAUCAUGGCAGAUUAUUAUCAUCAACAUGAGCCAGGGCCAAGGAUUUAGCUUAGUG
rnacentral:lncRNA from 1 species